rnacentral:misc_RNA from 1 species
CAAUAAGUGUUCAAUGGCACUUUUAAAAUCCAUUACCCACCUUGUGUGCAAUGUAAGGAGGAGGGGGUUUGUCAGACUUUUUUGGUCUGGUUUUCCCCUCUUUCAUUAUACAUACCAAUCUUCUCUUGUUGUCUACUUUUUGAGUAUAAAAAAAACUCGAAUA